GAUGAACGCUGGCGGCGUGCCUAAUACAUGCAAGUCGAGCGAACGGACGAGAAGCUUGCUUCUCUGAUGUUAGCGGCGGACGGGUGAGUAACACGUGGAUAACCUACCUAUAAGACUGGGAUAACUUCGGGAAACCGGAACUAAUACCGGAUGAUAUUUUGAACCGCAUGGUUCAAAAGUGAAAGACGGUCUUGCUGUCACUUAUAGAUGGAUCCGCGCUGCAUUAGCUAGUUGGUAAGGUAACGGCUUACCAAGGCAACGAUGCAUAGCCGACCUGAGAGGGUGAUCGGCCACACUGGAACUGAGACCCGGUCCAGACUCCUACGGGAGGCAGCAGUAGGGAAUCUUCCGCAAUGGGCGAAAGCCUGACGGAGCAACGCCGCGUGAGUGAUGAAGGUCUUCGGAUCGUAAAACUCUGUUAUUAGGGAAGAACAUAUGUGUAAGUAACUGUGCACAUCUUGACGGUACCUAAUCAGAAAGCCACGGCUAACUACGUG
rnacentral:rRNA from 1 species